UGGGGAAUUUUGGACAAUGGGGCAAACCCUGAUCCAGCCAUCCCGCGUGUGCGAUGAAGGCCUUCGGGUUGUAAAGCACUUUUUGCAGGAAAGAAACGUCAUGGGUUAAUACCCCGUGAAACUGACGGUACCUUCAGAAUAAGCACCGGCUAACUACGUGCCAGCAGCCGCCGUAAUACGUAGGGUGCAAGCGUUAAUCGGAAUUACUGGGCGUAAAGCGUGCGCAGGCGGUUCGGAAAGAAAGAUGUGAAAUCCCAGAGCUCAACUUUGGAACUGCAUUUUUAACUACCGGGCUAGAGUGUGUCAGAGGGAGGUGGAAUUCCGCGUGUAGCAGUGAAAUGCGUAGAUAUGCGGAGGAACACAGAUGGCGAAGGCAGCCUCCUGGGAUAACACUGACGCUCAUGCACGAAAGCGUGGGGAGCAAACAGG
rnacentral:rRNA from 1 species